rnacentral:rRNA from 1 species
GACGAACGCUGGCGGCGUGCUUAACACAUGCAAGUCGAACGGAAAGGCCCUGCUUUUGUGGGGUGCUCGAGUGGCGAACGGGUGAGUAACACGUGAGUAACCUGCCCUUGACUUUGGGAUAACUUCAGGAAACUGGGGCUAAUACCGGAUAGGAGCUCCUGCUGCAUAGUGGGGGUUGGAAAGUUUCGGCGGUUGGGGCUGGACUCGCGGCUUAUCAGCUUCUUGGUGGGGUAGUGGCUUACCAAGGCUUUGACGGGUAGCCGGCCUGAGAGGGUGACCGGCCACAUUGGGACUGAGAUAGGGCCCAGACUGCUACGGGAGGCAGCAGUGGGGAAUAUUGCAGAAUGGGCGGAAGCCUGAUGCAGCAACGCCGCGUGCGGGAUGACGGCCUUCGGGUUGUAAACCGAUUUCGCCUGUGACGAAGCGUGAGUGACGGUAAUGGGUAAAGAAGCACCGGCUAACUACGUG